rnacentral:rRNA from 1 species
GGUGGCAAGCGUUAAUCGGGAUUUACUGGGGCGUAAAGCGGGGCGUAGGUGGGCUAUUUAAGUCAAAUGUUAAAUCCCCGGAGCUUAACUUGGGAUUUGCAUUGGAUACUGGGUAGCUAGAGUACGGAAGAGGAUGGUAGUAUUCCAGGUGUAGCGGUGAAAUGCGUAGAGAUGUGGAGGAACACCAAUGGCGAAGGCAGCCAUCUGGUCUGUUACUGACGCUGAGGUGCGAAAGCAUGGGGAGCAAACAGGAUUAGAUACCCUGGUAGUCCAUGCCGUAAACGAUGUGUGCUAGGCGUUGGGGCUUUCGAUGCCUUAGUGGCGCAAGUUACGGCAUUAGUCGCUCGCCUGGGGAAUUCGGUUGCCAGGCUAGAACUUCAAUGAAAUGGCGGGGGCCCGCCCCAACGGUGGAACAAGGGGUUUAAUUUGAUACCACGGGAAGGACCUUUCCUGGCUUUGGCAUUCAGAGAGCUUUCUAGGGAGGGAGAGGUUCCUUUGGGGGCUGUGAUGCCGGUUGGUCAAGGGUGUUGUCAAGUUGGGUUGUGAGAAGGUGGGGUAAAUUCCGCAACGAAGGCCACCCUUUUUCUUUAUUUCCAACCUUUCGGAUGGGCACUUUAGGGAUACUGCCAUUGACAAGCUGGAGGAAGGCGGGGAUGACGUCAAGUCAUCAUGCCCCUUACGGCCAGGGCUACACACGUGCUACAAUGGUCGGUACAAAGGGAUGCUACCCAGCGAGGGGAUGCCAAUCUCAAAAAGCCGAUCGCAGUUCGGAUUGGAGUCUGCAACUCGCCUCCAUGAAGUCGGAAUCGCUAGUAAUCGCGGAUCAGCAUGCCGCGGUGAAUACGUUCCCGGGCCUUGUACACACCGCCCGUCCCCCCAUGGGAGUUUGAGCACCAGAAGUAGGUAGUGUAACCUUAGGGAGGCCG